rnacentral:rRNA from 1 species
GACGAACGCUGGCGGCGUGCUUAACACAUGCAAGUCGAACGGAAAGGCCCUGCUUUUGUGGGGUGCUCGAGUGGCGAACGGGUGAGUAACACGUGAGUAACCUGCCCUUGACUUUGGGAUAACUUCAGGAAACUGGGGCUAAUACCGGAUAGGAGCUCCUGCUGCAUGGUGGGGGUUGGACAGUUUCGGCGGUUGGGGAUGGACUCGCGGCUUAUCAGCUUGUUGGUGGGGUAGUGGCUUACCAAGGCUUUGACGGGUAGCCGGCCUGAGAGGGUGACCGGCCACAUUGGGACUGAGAUACGGCACAGACUACUACGGGAGGCAGAAGUGGGGAAUAUGGCACAAUGGGCGGAAGCCUGAUGCAGUAACGCCGCGUGCGGGAUGACGGCCUUCGGGUUGUAAACCGCUUUCGCCUGUGACGAAGCGUGAGUGACGGUAAUGGGUAAAGAAGCACCGGCUAACUACGUG